AAUGAAAUGAGACAAGGAAAGAAGCAAGGAUGCCAGAGAGGUUAUCGCAGCCAAGAUCUUCAUAAUUACCUCAGCUAUUGUCUAACCCACUGAACAGAGACACAACAAAUGGAACUGUGCUACAAAUGGAAGUGCCUGCAGAAUAAAUCUCCAAUGAAGGAAGUGCAGCCAAUUGCCCUACAAACUGAGUGAAUGUGACAACUUCAUUCAGGAGGUUCUCAGCUGCUCUCUGGAUGAGAUGAGCUAGUGACAGGAACAACAACAGAAAAGGCUAACAGAAGAGAAAGGAAGUAUUUGAUGGCUCCCCUUGUCUGUUCCCUGCCCUUUCUCAUCAGUCCUAGAAUUUUGUGACCGGGUUGUUUCCACAGAGACAUAUGGCACAAGGAAGUAGG